CCUCGAUCAGACUCAGAAUGUAUUCAUUAUUCCAGAAGUACAAUGCCCUCUCUGCGACCUGAAAGAGACGGGCAGUAGGAAGGGGAGUGUCCAGGCCGAGAGACGGUGGUCACGGUUAAAAAAAAAAAUUUAGGAACAAGUGACAGAUUGGGAUGAGCUCCCACCAGGGUGGUGGUCACUACUACUCGCUGCUCUGCUCACAGGACACCGGGCCCAAACCCACCUCCUUCUGACUGCAUGUUUUCGGCCAGAACUUCAGCAAUCCUCUGAUCACCUGCAAGAAGAAAGGAACUGCACGACACAGUACGCAAGCUGCAAUGUCAGAGGACAGGCUGCUGUGAAUAACACUGACUGCCCAGCAUUUUCAGUUUCUCUUGGAUUGAUUGUCUCUGGGCAAGGAGUCCAAACUUCCAAGCUUCCCCCAGUGAACACUGCUGUACAGUCUGCAAGAACAGGAGCCUCAGAUUCCCUCGAGCGCGCAUGAAGGAUGCCCCUUCUGUAACAGUCCGCCUUGCCGUCUACACUGUCAGGUGGAACAUGCCCCAACCCAGUAAAAGAGAAGACCUACCUUCCUAAGAUUUCAAGGAGUUCAGCAACACCAUUGAAAUGCUCUGUUUCAUAUAUAAACCUGAAUUUAAAACAAA